rnacentral:rRNA from 1 species
AUUGAACGCUGGCGGCAGGCCUAACACAUGCAAGUCGAACGGUAGCACAGAGAGCUUGCUCUCGGGUGACGAGUGGCGGACGGGUGAGUAAUGUCUGGGAAACUGCCCGAUGGAGGGGGAUAACUACUGGAAACGGUAGCUAAUACCGCAGAACGUCGCAAGACCAAAGUGGGGGACCUUCGGGCCUCACACCAGCGGAUGUGCCCAGAUGGGAUUAGCUAGUAGGUGGGGUAAUGGCUCACCUAGGCGACGAUCCCUAGCUGGUCUGAGAGGAUGACCAGCCACACUGGAACUGAGACACGGUCCAGACUCCUACGGGAGGCAGCAGUGGGGAAUAUUGCACAAUGGGCGCAAGCCUGAUGCAGCCAUGCCGCGUGUAUGAAGAAGGCCUUCGGGUUGUAAAGUACUUUCAGCGGGGAGGAAGGCGGUGAAGUUAAUAGCUUCACCGAUUGACGUUACCCGCAGAAGAAGCACCGGCUAACUCCGUGCCAGCCGCCCGCAGUAA